CCUACGGGAGGCAGCAGUGAGGAAUAUUGGUCAAUGGACGAGAGUCUGAACCAGCCAAGUAGCGUGAAGGAUGACUGCCCUAUGGGUUAUAAACUUCUUUUAUAAAGGAAUAAAACGAGGCACGUGUGCCUUUUUGCAUGUACUUUAUGAAUAAGGAUCGGCUAACUCCGUGACAGCAGCCGCGGUAAUACGGAGGAUCCGAGCGUUAUCCGUAUUUAUUGGGUUUAAAGGGAGCGUAGAUGGGUUGUUAAGUCAGUUGUGAAAGUUUGCGGCUCAACCGUAAAAUUGCAAUUGAUACUGGCAGUCUUGAGUACAGUUGAGGUAGGCGGAAUUCGUGGUGUAGCGGUGAAAUGCUUAGAUAUCACGAAGAACCCCGAUUGCGAAGGCAGCUUACUAAACUGUGACUGACAUUGAUGCUCGAAAGUGUGGGUAUCAAACAGGAUUAGAUACCCUUGUAGUC
rnacentral:rRNA from 1 species